UCUCUCCUUCUGUCACUUUCAGCAGGUAUUUCUGUCUCCGGAGCUGCAGAGUCUGGAUCUCUGGUUGUGAGCCACCUGUUCCCCCCGUGUUCCUGCUCGACAACUGCUAUUACAUUUGUUGUUAUUGGAUGAGCUAACUCAGCUAACUCUGAGGAGAACAGAAUGGACUCGCCAGCUGAUGGAGCAGCAACCUCGUUUUCCCUCCCACGGACUGACACAGCAGUUUGGGACAACCACCCUAUUCCCCUGGCCUAAACGACCACACUGCCACAAAACAAACUGUCUGUCAUGUACCUGCAGUUGGUGCAUGUGCACCAUGGGGGAAGUCCACUGUCCGGGAUGUGUGGACCAGGACUUUUCAUCAGAAAAUGUGAUUAAAUCGAAGAUCAUCCCAGGCUUUUAUUAAUCUUCACAGGGAGCCGGUCCUUCUGCUGGCUGGACAGGGCCUGCAGAUUGGCCUGUGAAAGGAACAGAAACAACACUACUGAAAACAUAGUUUGGUGACUUACUGCCAUUAGUGCAUUAUAUGCUAUAUCUGCUGUCUGUGCUACAUGGAGUUCCUCCAUUCUCUCCCAGUCCUGAGGAUCAAUUUGGUCUCUGGCACCUGGUCUGCCCACUCCUUCUACCCAUCCCGUGCACACCUCCCCACCCCCUGUGGACACGUAUGCGUGCACACGCAUUUACAAAGGUUCAUUUCACAUGUAGAAGUGGGGUAAUAUCUGUUCAUCUUAGCAGACCACAAUCAGUAUUUCUUCUUGGAUCAUUUGUGGUUGGGGUAUGUAAGGCCAAAGCAUAUCUGGCGAUCCAGUCAGGCUGACACCAUGUUAUCACCAUCUCUGUUACACAGUUUCUUUCAUUUUGUAAAAACAUACAAUAACAU